rnacentral:rRNA from 1 species
GACGAACGCUGGCGGCGUGCUUAACACAUGCAAGUCGAACGGAAAGGCCCUGCUUGCAGGGUACUCGAGUGGCGAACGGGUGAGUAACACGUGGGUGAUCUGCCCUGCACUUCGGGAUAAGCCUGGGAAACUGGGUCUAAUAGCGGAUAGGAGCCAUUUUUAGUGUGAUGGUUGGAAAGUUUUUUCGGUGUAGGAUGAGCUCGCGGCCUAUCAGCUUGUUGGUGGGGUAAUGGCCUACCAAGGCGGCGACGGGUAGCCGGCCUGAGAGGGUGGACGGCCACAUUGGGACUGAGAUACGGCCCAGACUCCUACGGGAGGCAGCAGUGGGGAAUAUUGCACAAUGGGCGCAAGCCUGAUGCAGCGACGCCGCGUGGGGGAUGACGGCCUUCGGGUUGUAAACUCCUUUCGCUAGGGACGAAGCUUUUUGUGACGGUACCUAGAGAAGAAGCACCGGCUAACUACGUG